rnacentral:tRNA from 1 species
GGUGCCAUAGCUGAGUUGGUAGAGCAAAGGACUGAAAAUCCUUGUGUCCCCGGUUCGAUUCCUGGUGGCACCA